UUUGCUAUUGUUAUUGGUAUCGUAUUGCUGUUUUAUUGAUGUUGGAUUGCCAUGUUAGUGGUAUUAUAUUGGCAUCGUAGUGCUGUUUUAUUGCUAUUUUAUUAUGGUUUUAUUCCCGUUCCAUUGUGGUUUUAAUGGUUUUGGCGAUUAUGCAAUUAGAUUAUGUGUUUGUUUGUUGUUUUGUUUCAUCCAAAGAAGGGAAAUUGUAAGGUUCAUUUAUAGUCUCUAC
rnacentral:lncRNA from 1 species